rnacentral:rRNA from 1 species
UCCCUAGGUGAACUCUGCGGAAGGAUCACUGAACACAUGAUCGAAAAAACAAUGGCCUAUCAAUGAGCCAUAGAUGUCUUGAUUCGUCCAUACUAGAUAGCUAUACUAUAACUGCGUAUCAUAUCUCUUGAGCAUGGUAGACUCCUCUAUCAUCAUAGUCUAUUGAAGUCCUAAAGGUGGAUGUCUAGGCUCCUGUAUCGAUGAAGAACGUAGCAAGAAGCGAAAUGCGAUGAGACGCGCCGUUCUCGUGAAUCAUCGAGUCUUCGAACGCACAUGGUGCUCAACUAUGUUAGCCUGAACAAGGCUGAGCAUGCUUCACGCAGUGACCAACUCAACAAAAUCCUUCUAGGAAGCACAUCGUUGCUAAGAAAGUACUCUGAUCAACCAGGUUCGAAAUUUAGUAGUUCCUAGCUGCUUGAAGUUGCUGGCACCCGUGAAUUCCUAUUGACGGAACCCAUUGGGAGUCCUGCGUGAGAGCAAGAUUACCCGCUGAACUUAAGCAUAUCAAUA